rnacentral:rRNA from 1 species
CAGCCGCCGCGGGAAUACGAAGGGUGCAAGCGUUAAUCGGAAUUACUGGGCGUAAAGCGUGCGUAGGCGGUGAGUUAAGUCUGCUGUGAAAUCCCCGGGCUCAACCUGGGAAUGGCAGUGGAUACUGGCUCGCUAGAGUGUGUCAGAGGAUGGUGGAAUUCCCGGUGUAGCGAUGAAAUGCGUAGAGAUCGGGAGGAACAUCAGUGGCGAAGGCGGCCAUCUGGGACAACACUGACGCUGAGGCACGAAAGCGUGGGGAGCAAACAGGAUUAGAUACCCCCGUAGUCCCUGUCUCUUAUAC